rnacentral:misc_RNA from 1 species
GGGCCAUUGCAGGAGGAGAAGAACACUGCAAAGCGAUGGAUGAUCUGCUAGCCGUGUCGUUAAAGUGUAUUCUUCCGAUAAACGAAAGGCCAAACAUCAGACAAGUUGUUGAAGAUCUGGGUUCCAUAUCUGUGUGAAUUUUUUGUACAUGUUGUCUUGGAAUUACUAUUCUUUUUUCUUUUCCUUCACAUUUUUAUUAUGUUCUAGUGGUUGCCUUCUAAUGUUGGUCAAUCCUUACAUAUUCCCAUUUUCUUUCCCCUCCUCCCCUUCAUUUUUUGUGUAAAGGGAUGAUCAGUCCA